rnacentral:rRNA from 1 species
GACGAACGCUGGCGGCGUGCCUAAUACAUGCAAGUCGAGCGAAUUUACGAGAGCUUGCUCUCGUAAAUUAGCGGCGGACGGGUGAGUAACACGUGGGCAACCUGCCUAUAAGACUGGGAUAACUUCGGGAAACCGGAGCUAAUACCGGAUAAUUCACAUCUACUCAUGUAGAUGUGCUGAAAGACGGUUUACGCUGUCACUUAUAGAUGGGCCCGCGGCGCAUUAGCUAGUUGGUGAGGUAACGGCUCACCAAGGCCACGAUGCGUAGCCGACCUGAGAGGGUGAUCGGCCACACUGGGACUGAGACACGGCCCAGACUCCUACGGGAGGCAGCAGUAGGGAAUCUUCCGCAAUGGACGAAAGUCUGACGGAGCAACGCCGCGUGAGUGAU